rnacentral:lncRNA from 1 species
AUAGGCUUGCCUUUGCAAGGGAUGGCACAGAUAGUAUAAAAUAUAAGGGUGCUUCUCUUCACUGCCUGCUGCAGUAUUAUUGCACAUGUUACAGUGCUAAUGAGCCUGUCUUGUGUCCUCUGAACAAUCUGUGCUGGAGUUGGAAUAUGCUUCCUGUCGUUCAUCAGAAGAACUGGCAAGCAAGCAAGGCUGACAGAUGUAGUUCAGACUUGUGAGGAUUUCCUGUUGCAAAAGUUUGGCAUCCACUGACAUUUCCUGGUGGUGUAGAAAAGCCAGAAGAGUAAUGGGUUGUUGUAAUGGUUUGGCCUGAAGAUUCUUCCUGU